CGUACACUCCUGCGGGAGGCAGCAGUGGGGAAUUUUGGACAAUGGGCGAAAGCCUGAUCCAGCCAUGCCGCGUGCAGGAUGAAGGCCUUCGGGUUGUAAACUGCUUUUGUACGGAACGAAACGGCCUUUUCUAAUAAAGAGGGCUAAUGACGGUACCGUAAGAAUAAGCACCGGCUAACUACGUGCCAGCAGCCGCGGUAAUACGUAGGGUGCAAGCGUUAAUCGGAAUUACUGGGCGUAAAGCGUGCGCAGGCGGUUAUGUAAGACAGUUGUGAAAUCCCCGGGCUCAACCUGGGAACUGCAUCUGUGACUGCAUAGCUAGAGUACGGUAGAGGGGGAUGGAAUUCCGCGUGUAGCAGUGAAAUGCGUAGAUAUGCGGAGGAACACCGAUGGCGAAGGCAAUCCCCUGGACCUGUACUGACGCUCAUGCACGAAAGCGUGGGGAGCAAACAGGAUUAGAUACCCGUGUAGUCCCAUGA
rnacentral:rRNA from 1 species